AGGCACCCAAUGGCAGGCUGUAUUUGGAGGAAUGAAGAGUAGAUAAGGUACUGGUACCUGAUGAAUCUGAGGCCAGGUUUCAAUACUUUAUCUACUUUUCAUUUCCCCAAACGUACUUACUGUAGGUAUGGCCU
rnacentral:pre_miRNA from 1 species